rnacentral:snRNA from 1 species
GGAUGUGAGGGCGAUCUGGCUGCGACAUCUGUCACCCCAUUGAUCGCCAGGGUUGAUUCGGCUGAUCUGUCUUCCUUCCCUCACCGCUCCAUGUUGCGUCCUCCCGAAGCUGCGCGCUCGGUCGAAGAGGACGACCAUCCCCGAUAGAGGAGGACCGUUCUUCGGUCAAGGGUAUACGAGUAGCUGCGCUCCCCUGCUAGAACCUCCAAACAAGCUCUCAAGUAUCGUAGUCCUGUAUUGAGUGUUGUUAAGUGCCUAAGCACCUUUGCCUCAUCUAUACUGUCUAU